AAACAAAUUCAUCUCUCCUCUCCCCCCCCCCCCCUCAUUUCUCACGCCACUCUCCCCUCUCUCUUCUCCCUCACUUCUUUCUCUCACUAUCACCAUUGAAGGAUAAUUUCCAAGCUUCUCAAAUCAUAUCUACACCAUAGAUAUCCAUUAAAUCAAGCUUUAAACAUCUUUGAUCCUUGAAUUAAGAGCAACUUUGGAGGGAUUCUAAAGCUUGAAGUCAAGAGGAGGAUUUUAUUAUUCUACUCAAGAAUCAUUGAGAUAAGCGAGGAGGGAGAUUGGACUGGUGCUGGCAGGGGUUUUGUUUCGGAUGAUCGUCAUUAUACCGUAAUUAUUUUCCUUGCGGUAACAUCAAGAUGUUGAGGUUUAUUUUGAACUUAAUCAAUAAAUUUACUCCCGGCUAUAUGUCUUCAUACAUAUAGUCUGUUCGCAUUUUGCUGCGAUACUCUGUAUAUCCCGAGUCAUUGUGAGUAAUUAGCUAUGUCUACUUUGUAAAGGUUGACAAGAAUCUCGAUGAUUUAAAAGUUAUAAAGGCAAUCAUAUUUUUAUU